rnacentral:rRNA from 1 species
GACGUAGGUGGCAAGCGUUAUCCGGAAUUAUUGGGUGUAAAGGGUGUGUAGGUGGACAUAUAAGUCAUGGGGAAAAGAAUUAGGCUCAACCUAAUAAAUGCUUAUGAAACUGUAUAACUAGAGUAUGGGAGAGGAAGGUGGAAUUAUCAGUGUAGCGGUGAAAUGCGUAGAUAUUGAUAGGAACGCCAAAGACGAAGGUAGCCUUCUGGACCAGUACUGACGCUGAGACACUAAAGCUAGGGGAGCAAACAGG